GUGGAUGUAGCCAAGCGGUAAGGCAAUGGAUUGUGGCUCCAUCAAUCGCGGGUUCAAAUCCCGUCAUUCACCCUA
rnacentral:tRNA from 1 species